UACGUACUCCCUGCGUCCGGAAAUACUUGUCGAAGGAAUGGAUGUAUCUAGAUAUAUUUUAGUUCUAAAUACAUCCAGAUUUAUCCGUUUCCCCGACAAGUAUUUCCGGACGGAGGGAGUAUUUU
rfam:Triticum aestivum genome assembly, contig: Triticum_aestivum_CS42_TGACv1_scaffold_292181_4AL